rnacentral:pre_miRNA from 1 species
UUAAAUCAAGUUUGUAUGGAUUUGGAACGUUUGCCGCUAGGGGCGCUGUUCCAAUUGCAUACAAAACUUGGGUUA